GGGUUGGAAUUGACUUCAAAGAACAUCCAGUCCCAACCCCCUGCCAUCAGGAGGGUUACCAGCCACUAAGCCAGGCACCAGAUCAGGCUGCCCAGGGCUGCAUCCAACCCAACUUUGAACAUCUGUACAGAUGGGGCAUCCACAACCUUUCUCGGGAGAGGAGGACUCGUCUACAGGGCUCCUCUGGGGAGUGUUCAAUGGUCUGUGGAUUCAGCCCUUUGUGUGACCCAAAGUGCCUCCAUGCACAGAAAAAGGAAAGUCUCUGCACACAUCCAGCCUCAUGGGAUCGCGUUCAGACCGUACACCAGAGCACCAGGGAGUGCAUUCCUCCUUUCAUUUUGGAGAGAAACUUAGAUCAUCGAUAUUGUUUGCUAAGGCUCCGUCCAGGGAGGGGAAAGAAGCUUUGAAAUGCUCGGCUGAGAUCCUGCAGUGAUGUGAAGGGGGGAACAUGUUCUGCUGUGUUCAGAGGGGAAAAAAUGUAUAUAUAUAUCACCAGAUUAAAAAGGAAA